rnacentral:tRNA from 1 species
GGGUACAUAGCUCAGUUGGUAGAGCAGCUGACUCUUAAUCAGCGGGUCGUAGGUUCGAAUCCUACUGUACCCACCA